CUGUGAGGCUGAGUUUCCUGACUGUACGAAGGAGUCAGGCCUUUCCCCUGUGACGUUUUCUCCUCUUUAUUACAGUGGCAGGAGCAUCCCUGCGAGAGGCCUGACCCAGGUGUGUAGCCCAAGCAGCCAGCCCGGAAAUCCAAUGGGGUGUUCUUGGGGUGCAGAGGAUUUGUGACAGUCCAUACACAGAAAAAGGAAAAGGUGGCUUUGAAGAGACCUGACUGGCCAGUGUCUCAAAGACGUGGAUGGUGACCAGCUCUCUCCAGAACAGAUGGCGCUCCAGCUUUGUGGGAGAAACUUUCAAGGUGUGGAUCACUUGGAAGUCAUUUGAAACCUAUGAAGUUUAACAUCUCUGCUUUGGAUGGAAUGCUCAUCACCUACAGCAGUCAGGGAUGUAACUAAACUUGCUGGGACUGAUG
rnacentral:lncRNA from 1 species